rnacentral:tRNA from 3 species
CGGGGCGUAGCGCAGCCUGGCUAGCGCGCUACCUUGGGGUGGUAGAGGUCGCGUGUUCGAAUCACGUCGCUCCGACCA